rnacentral:rRNA from 1 species
GUGGGGAAUAUUGGGCAAUGGGGGAAACCCUGACCCAGCGACGCCGCGUGAGGGAAGAAGGCCUUAGGGUCGUAAACCUCUGUUGUGUGGGAAGAAGAGCGUGACGGUACCACACGAGGAAGUCCCGGCUAACUACGUGCCAGCAGCCGCGGUAAUACGUAGGGGACGAGCGUUGUCCGGAUUUACUGGGCGUAAAGGGCGCGUAGGCGGUCAUUUAAGUCAGCUGUGAAAAGGUUUGGCUUAACCGGAUCAUGGGGGUGAAACUGGAUGACUGGAGUGCUGGAGAGGCAAGUGGAAUUCCCAGUGUAGCGGUGAAAUGCGUAGAUAUUGGGAAGAACACCGGUGGCGAAGGCGACUUGCUGGCCAGCAACUGACGCUGAGGCGCGAAAGCCAGGGGAGCAAACGGGAUUAGAAACCCUAGUAGUCC